CCCUCGGGUUGUAAACCGCUUUCAGUGGGGAGAAUCAAGACGGUACCCACAGAAGAAGCCCCGGCCAACUACGUGCCAGCAGCCGCGGUAACACGUAGGGGGCAAGCGUUGUCCGGAUUUAUUGGGCGUAAAGAGCUCGUAGGCGGUUCGAUAAGUCGGGUGUGAAACCUCCAGGCUCAACCUGGAGACGCCACCCGAUACUGUCGUGACUAGAGUCCAGUAGGGGAGCGUGGAAUUCCUGGUGUAGCGGUGAAAUGCGCAGAUAUCAGGAGGAACACCAGCGGCGAAGGCGGCGCUCUGGGCUGGCACUGACGCUGAGGAGCGAAAGCGUGGGGAGCGAACAGGAUUAGAUACCCUGGUAGUCCACGCCGUAAACGUUGGGUACUAGGUGUGGGGUCUUAUCAACGGAUUCCGUGCCGAAGCUAACGCAUUAAGUACCCCGCCUGGGGAGUACGGCCGCAAGGCUAAAACUCAAAGGAAUUGACGGGGGCCCGCACAAGCAGCGGAGCAUGUUGCUUAAUUCGAGGCAACGCGAAGAACCUUACCUGGGUUUGACAUGUAGGGAAAAGCCGUAGAGAUACGGUGUCCUUUUGGGCCCUACACAGGUGGUGCAUGGCU
rnacentral:rRNA from 1 species